UUCGAAGAACCUUCCUCGUGUCUCAUUCCACAGAACAAAUCAAAGCGUAUGUGAUCCAACCAUCCCAGAACACAAAGACAGAAACAAAAAAUUGAAUCAACAUCCACAAACCAAAUCAAUAUUAAUAAAGUAGCAACAAAAUGUCAAUCGAUCCAACACAACAAACAAAUCAAUCCACAGACAGUAUCGAACACAACUAUAAAAUCAAUCUCCUAACAGAAGAACCACAAUCUAAGACAUGCACUACAAGAAAACAGCGGUAUUCUGACGGA
rnacentral:lncRNA from 1 species